rnacentral:rRNA from 1 species
CCUACGGGAGGCAGCAGUGAGGAAUAUUGGUCAAUGGGCGCUAGUCUGAACCAGCCAAGUAGCGUGAAGGAUGACUGCCCUAUGGGUUGUAAACUUCUUUUAUAUGGGAAUAAAGUGCAGUACGUAUACUGUUUUGCAUGUACCUUAUGAAUAAGGAUCGGCUAACUCCGUGCCAGCAGCCGCGGUAAUACGGAGGAUCCGAGCGUUAUCCGGAUUUAUUGGGUUUAAAGGGAGCGUAGGCGGGUUGUUAAGUCAGUUGUGAAAGUUUGCGGCUCAACCGUAAAAUUGCAGUUGAUACUGGCAUCCUUGAGUACAGUAGAGGUAGGCGGAAUUCGUGGUGUAGCGGUGAAAUGCUUAGAUAUCACGAAGAACUCCGAUUGCGAAGGCAGCCUGCUGGACUGUAACUGACGCUGAUGCUCGAAAGUGUGGGUAUCAAACAGGAUUAGAUACCCCUGUAGUC